UACGGAGGGUGCAAGCGUUAUCCGGAUUCACUGGGUUUAAAGGGUGCGUAGGAGGGCAGGUAAGUCAGUGGUGAAAUCUUUGGGCUUAACCCGAAAACUGCCAUUGAUACUAUCUGUCUUGAAUGCGGUGGAGGUGAGCGGAAUAUGUCAUGUAGCGGUGAAAUGCUUAGAUAUGACAUAGAACACCGAUUGCGAAGGCAGCUCGCUACACCUGCAUUGACUCUGAGGCGCGAAAGCUAGGGGAGCAAACGGG
rnacentral:rRNA from 1 species